GGGGUUGUAGCUUAGUGGUAGAGCUUUGCCUGAAAUGUGUGAGCCCCUGGGUUCAAUCCCCAGCAACACCA
rnacentral:tRNA from 1 species